AGUACCAGGCCGGGGGCUGGAGCAGCUGGUUUAGGGAGUGGUGUCCUCUCCCCUUUCCGAUCUCGUGGUGCUUUGGAUGGGCCACCCCAUGGCUGGGUCGCUUUCCUGGCGCAUUGAGCCCAGUGGUAAGGGCAAGCAGAUGUCCCAGCUCUCAGCUGAUCCUUGGCUUUUCCCCAUCCCUGUUCCCUUGGCACAUUUCCCGUUCCUGACGCAGUGAUUGAUGGAGGGAGCAUCACCUAUCCUCAGCUCCUCUGCUUCUGCUUCCUACCUACCCCUUGCUAGGAGGAUCUCAAAAGAAGACUUUUUUUUUUUUUUUAUCUCUGCCCUUCCACCUCUUUUCUGUUUUCGUCCCUCCUUAUCUACCAGUGACUCAGGCGUGUGUCUGAUUAUCUUUUGUUCUGUCCUUUUCCCCUCACCCCUUCUGUUUCUGCAAGGCUGAGUCAUCCCCCGCCCGUUGGCAGCACCUCAAUUUCAGGUUCUUGGCCCAAAAUCCUGACCACUGGCUUCUUUCCCCAGCCCGUUUCCUUUGCUGGAGCGAGGGAGGUUAUCCUUAGCGGCUGUGUCACAGAUGGGCGCAGCUCCCUGUGCUUGGGGGAUCUUGGGGGUUCUGCUUCCUGGUGUUUUCUGGUCUUCUGGUGGAAAAACUUGCUAUUUGCUUUUCAGUGAGAGUUAAAGAUGAACCAUUGGGGCCUUAAAUAGGUACUCAUAAAAGUCAAUGAUAAAUGAAUGGUGGCACGAAUGUGAAUAUUGAGUGGUCAUGGGCUCCCCAGGAGGUUCUACCUUCACACAGCCACCGUGGCAGAAUCGACCCCCUUAUCCUGAAGAUAGGACUAAGGAAUAACUAAACAUCCCUUCCUGGUUAACCUUUAGAAGAGCACUUUUAACAAGGGGACCCAAGCGAAGAGCAGAUUGGAAAGAAAAGAUUUGAGGGUUUUAAGAGAGAUCAGUGCUUGAUGACAGUCAUCCUUGGGUGCUUAAGUACAAAGCAGAGAAGGCUUUGAGCAGGGCGUCUUGUUAUGUACUCUGCUCUCCUUCCUGCUGAUUAACAGACCUACACUUUGUUUGCUUUCAUUAAUGCAUUUACAGAACCAAUAAGGCCGUGAUGGAAUUAGCUUUGUGCCUUCUCUCGUGUUUGUGCUUUUUAUCAGUUUCCUUUUAACUCUUUUUGAAUUCCCAUGGUGCCAUUUCUUGCGCUUUUUUUUCCCCUUUGCAAUAAGUUCCAACAUCUUUUUUCCAGUAGGGCCUGCACUUCUUUGUCCCUAAAAUCAGUGGUGCCAAAAGCGUGGACCCUGGGCUAUGGUUAGUGAUCUGCAGCAGGGUUGCAGAGCCUAUUAAAUAUUUUUAUUUGUGCAUGCUUCAGGGAAUACCAAGGUUCAGCGCUUCAGCUGUGGUUCAUUGGCCAAAACGGGCUGGUUGCUACUAACUUGUAGUCUGUUUUUCUUUUUUUUUUUUUUUUUUUUAUUCCCCUCCCAGGAUCUUAAUUUACAAGUUCCCUUGGGUUGGUUGAAUUUCUCAUUGUUUCUUUCCUUGUCUCGGAGCAGUGAAUGCUGUCAUCCUGGAGCAGGGGCUGAGUUUUUACAGCUCGGGGAGCAAUCCAGUGCAGAAGCAAACCAGCUGCUUUGGGCAGAACCAGCUGUGGCUCCUGACCCGGUGGUUCAGAAGCCUCCUGCAACGCCUGCACUACAUCUGCUCCCUUUGGGCAGGGCUCUGUGUUUGCUCACCCAGGAUGAGUCAGGUUAAAGAAACCACACAGAUAAGAUAAGGUGAUACGUGGUGAGCAAUGAGGCUGUGUGAGACCAUUCAGAUGUAACCCCACCUUCACAGAUCUUGUCAUCCUUUUAGGGGGACGGUGUAAUCUAUGGGUCAUCCUCUGCUUCCCAGGACACGUCUCUUCUUCCCUCUGUCAUCCUCUAACAGCUGAAUUCAGCUAGUGCAUCAAAUUCACAACGUGUUUGCUAAGUUCGCUCCCCGCCUUGGGAAACGAGGUGAUGUAACUGCAGAAGCAGCGCUUGGUUAAUGAACUGGCCCAGUAUCUGAUCAGCCCCUCCAGUCUGGAGGCGAAUUUCCCAUUUCUCAGGGCUCCCGGUGGGGUUUUGCACAACCCACCCAGCGGUCACACUGGUGCCUGCUUGUCCAGGUGGCCUCGUGGCUUGCUCCUGCCAUCAGAUGUCCUCAGCUGAACUUUUUGCUGCAAAGGCAAAACAAGUACAAACCAAUUAAUGCUUUGUCUUGCUUUAAGGGCAGCUUGGACGUCGCCUAAAUUGCGUUGUGUUUAGCUGGAUCUGCCCUGCUCAUUAGUUUUUCUUUGGUGGUGCUCCGCUGUGCCAGGCACAUAAGUUUUUCUUCUCCAUGGUGGUGUAGAAAUCCCUCUUCUUUUUUUUUUUUUUUGUGUGUGUGUUGAAGUGUCUAGCUCUUAAGAUUUCAUUUACUUGAAAUGAGAGGCAACACAGUAAAACAGAAUUGACCUUUUAUUUUUUUAAACAGCUGUCCACGCAGCCAAGGUACACUGCAGAGCUGAAGCAGCACGGCUUGGCUUUCUGCUUCUCGAGCAGUUCUUGUACCCAAACCAUGCUUUGCAGGCUGCGUCCUUAAGCAACAUUUCAGACAAGGGUCGACAUAGCCCAAAAUGAGCUUAAGACCAUAGCAGAAAGGAAAUCCCUGUGACCUCCCAACCCGUACAGGAGCGGGGUUGUGGGGCAUUUAUUGCCUACGUAAGAGUUGCGCAGUCUCCCCCCCUGCUUCCUCCUAGUUUUCCAGCUCCUCCCUCGUAAUCCUUUCAGUAAACAGCUUUAACCUUUGAAAGGGAAGACGUACUAGGACAUGGGUGCCCCAGCCCUGGUGCGGAGGAGCUGUGCUUGGGGAGGUGCGCUGCGGUGGUGCUGGAGGGAUCAUGGUGGCCAACCUUGAGGAUUUUGCCCUUUUUUGGGAGGAUUUUAGGAUUGAUCCCUCUCAGCUGGGUGUAGCAUGGUCAGGGUGGCAAUAGCAGUGCUUGGUGCUGGAGCAGAGCAUCUCGCUUGGGCUGGGCUUCUUCCUGAGAAAGGAAGAUUUGGGGGUGGGAGUGUGAUUUUUAUUUUCAAUUUUUUUUUUUCAAGGGUCUUUUUGUAAUAAUACUGUAAUUAACUCAUCUGCACGCAGGAUCUGCAGCGUUAAAUUAUUUCUGCCCACGUUGUUGCUGCUUUGACAGACCUCAGUGGAAGCAGUGGCUUAAAUCCUGUUCCUGAUGGCACUCGAUACCGAAUUGCUGAAAUACCUGCAAUGUGCUUGCUGUCCUCGACAGCAGUUGUUAUUGGGGGCAUUUUGCUUGUCCUCAUCUUCCCAUGAGCAGGUGUCUGCUCCCCGUGCUCCCCCUGGUCAUAAUAUGUGCCUUAAAUAACUGCCAACACCUAAAAUUAGAGGCGACUUGGGAGGCUGGUGUUAAAACAAGACCUGUGCCCUCAGCAUGGACAUGUUCCAGGUCAGGCAACAAAUGCCAGAGCUUCUCACUGGGUUAAAUGGCUCAGAGGUCUGGGAAGAGCUUGCAGUGCCUGCUGGCCUGAGCUAGCACCGCCAGCAUGUCCUUAUGUCUGUCCCCACCUGGGGGCUUUUUUGGCUCCCCCCAGAACCCCAAGUUCUCACUUCAUGGGAUCUAAAUGAGUAGCAGUGCUGAUGGUGCAGUUGGAUCUCUGGCUGCUUCACCUGGCUCAUUCCUCCUGCCCUGCAGGUGGGAAUGGGAAGGGGAAGGGCAUUUUGCCCACCAUUUCCAAAGAAAGUGGUGGUUAAUUAUUAGUGUGGGUACAGGGAAAUGCUUUUAACCUGGUGCAGCUUUCUUUUGGAAAACUGAGAGCAGCCCUGCCUACUGGAGAUGUUUUCUUCCAGACAUUCCCUUUAUUUUAGCACAUCCCCUUCCCUUUUUUCAGCUGCUUCCAAAGGCAAGGAACUGAGUGAGUGGAGCCCUUUUAGUACACACAGAAAAUUGAAUUUUUAGUAAAAAUAAGAGAAUUGAAGCCUGACUCCUGCAAUCUUUGGGGUUUCCAAGAAUUACACCAGUCUGCACUGAACAUGAGGGUGGGUUUGAAAUAAUCUUUCAGAAAUUCACGGUAGUGUUGCCUUUGACUUCCACCUCUUGAGUAGCAGCGAGUGAAAGGCAGGGACUGAAAUGAGCUGCAUCAAAAGUGGCCUUUUGGGGUAAAAGCUCCUGUGUAUAGAAGAAGUUGCCUGAAAUGCCAUGCUGUGAGGCAAGGGGAGGAUUUGGUGAUUUUUGGAGCUGAAAGACAGGAGCAGGCCUUGGCAGUGCUGACCUGGCAGGAGAUGCCACUUGCCUUUUUUUUUUCCCUUUCUUCUUCAAGUCUGGUAAUUGCACAUUAUUGCAGCGGGUGGCGAGACCAAAGCCAGGAAGCCUCUGGUUAAGUAAUCAAGGGAAAUAAGCCGUGCUGCAGAGCUGUGUGCAGGCUGGGGCUGCAGGUAGAAGAGCCCUAACUGGAAGCAGCUCUGGGUCGAGGCCCUGUCUGAAAGCAGAGGGGGGAGCCAAGAGGUGAUGCUGGGGAGGCGAGAAGCAUUAGGAUUUGGGGUCUUGGCUGUUGGGAUAUUCUGUCUCCAGCAGACUGGGGACCCCAUUACUUCUCCUUUUGAACAUCUGCAGAGCCUGGGGAACAGUGUAAGAAUUCAAUCAGCCUCACGCUGUGGUGACCUCAAGGACCGCAGCAAGGGACAGGAUGGCCAGCAGCAUCUCCCAGGGGCAGAUGCACAUGUUGCUGCCAAUAAUUUAUUGACUGAGGAGCAGUGCUGUGCCUGGGUGCAAACCCUAACGUGCCCCUGGCAGAGCUGAGGGAUUAAUGUCUGUCUGCCUGCCAAAACAAAGAGGCCAGAGGGGUUUUUUUUGUUGUUUUUCUUAAAGCUGUUUUUCCUCUGGUAUCUGCAGAUGUCUGUUUGGCCCUCAAAUAUCAUCCAGUCCUCCUCCUCAAAAUGAGACCCAGAGAAAGGGAGCUUGAAAAAUGGAAAACCCUGCACCUGCUUCUGUGUGGGGAGAGCUGUGAUUUCUCACCUCGGUGAGGCCCUAGCACAUAACUCCUCAAGUAAUGAGGCAGACUUUACCCGCUUGCCAGGGCUUCAUCUGAGUGGGGAAAAAAAUAAAAAUAAAAAAUCCAGCAGGUGAAUUUAAUCCUCAGGCUGGCAUCUGUGUGUCUGGAUAUCGAUGACUCUGGCUGCGGCAGUGUGCUUGCUCAGGGUAACCUGCCUGCCCGAGGGGGUUAUAAUGAAAAUUAACUCUGCAAAAGCUGUUUAAAAUGUAAUAAUUACAUGGAGUGCUUACACUGACCGUUCCCUUUUUAACCAAAGGAAGAGCAGCGCUGCCUGGCCGGGUUUCUCUGCAGCAUCCCAAGCAGAUGGAGGUCAAGAGGGGGCAUUCAGGGAGACCUUGCUGUGGAGGUGGGCAGGUUGUGUAGGUCCCAAGGGGUCAGGACUAAGGCUGGUGCUGGUUCCAGAGGUGUGAUGGAGAGCUGUAAUGCUCCUGUCCAGCACUGACCCUCAGGUCCCCGGGUCUGAACACAUCCAUAAACUCCCAGUGAUGAUCACAAGCCUUCCUCGACCGUCUUGGUGGAGUUAGUUUCCAGAAAGGGUGUGGGAAGUGUUUGUCGGGAGUCCGUUUCCUGCCCUGCAAGAUUUUUGGUUUGGAAAAAAAAUAAAAAGAAGAACAAAAAAUAGUGGUUUGUUGCCCAAAUGGUGCUCGCUGAGGAUGUGAAUCACUGGCUCCUGGGAGGAUCUGAUACCAGCACUGACCAUGGGAAAAACCAUCACAUUGCUCAGAAGUCCUCAUAAAAAUGUCCUUCCCGCCUGUCUUGAUCAUAUGCACGUUUUCCAAAACUUAUUUAGAGUUGGGAUUUGUGGUGAAAGGAUUCAUCCUCCAGUAACCCCCUAUUUUGGGGAGGGUGGUGAAAUCUCCUCGUUUUGGGAAGGUCU